AUCUGCCACCCAUUACUUUUUUUUUUCCUCUGAUCUCAGAAGUUAAGUAGGGUCGGGCCUGGUUAGUACUUGGAUGAGAGACCGCCUGGAAAUACUAGGUGCUGUAGAUU
ensembl:rRNA 5S_rRNA 5S ribosomal RNA